CAGAGAUUUGCUGUGGAGGGGGGCAGAAUCCAAUUAACUGAAGUUACUAGGAUAUUCAUGAAGAGCUGCUUCUUCUACUAGAGCUUCACUAACACGUGAAUAAAUAUUUGAGAAGCCCUCUGUGUUCACGGAUACUUUUUUUUUUAAAACAACAAAAGAGUUUCUCAACCAGCGUCAUUCAAGAUCAGUGAUACUCAGCACACGUCCAGGCAAGCAGAAAAGCCACUUGCAGUCAUGGCUAGACAGUUUGAACGGCAAGAUGCUCUAAAAUUGGAAUGGAUACCACUGGAGAUGUCUUCCAGCACAACACUGAAGAUAGAUGUUUCUCCUGAACUGGUUUUGGCAACACUCCAGGAGUACAUUUAGCACACACGUCCCGUGAUGCAGUGUACAGAGAGAUCUUCAAAAAAGCCUUAGAGCAGGAGUCAUCACAGCAUGAUAUUUCUAAGAGAGGUUGUAAUACAUUUCUCUGGCCAGAGUGGAAGUCUUCGGUAUGCAGGCUGCCUAGAUUAGAAACCUGUCCUUGAAUACAAUAUUAUUAGUGCUUCGUUUCUCAAAUCCCUGAUAUUAGCACCUUUCCUGUAAAGCUUAUUAUCAAAAAGUUGUUGCAAGAAUGUAAAACUGAAGUUGGAGUUCAAAGGUUUGCUUAAUGUGUUCUUAAAAAAAACAUAAAAUACAUGUAGGCUAGUGCACACACACACAUAGACAAAUUCUAGUGAGAAGGGUUUAUUUAGCAUAGUUAUUUCUAUAGCUGAGCUAGAAUAUGAUGCCUGAAGAAAUCAUCAGUUCCAUUAUUCUAAGAUUUUUUUUUCCACAGAAGGCUCAUUUAUUAUAAGCCCUAAUAUAAAAUAAUGAAUAUUUGUUUUAAGUCAAGUCAAUACCAGCACUAGUCUCCCGGGGAUAUGUGCAAUUUUGUGAUAACUACAAAAGAAUUUAUUCUGGAGUAAACUAUACUGAAUCUAGUGUUGGCAUCUAAAGUGCGCUUAUUGGUAAUUUAGCUUCUCUUCAGCAGAGCACUAGGGUACUUCUUUUUUUUUUUUUAAGCAUGCAGGUAGUCACAAAGAUCGAUUUCAAUGGAACUACUCAUAAAAUCAAUGUGAUAAUUAUUUCUGCUUACUUUAAAGAUCUAACACUUCUAAUCUGAGAGGAAUAGGCUUUCCUAAAAAUUGUACUUUAAGAUCACAAUAAUAACAUUUAGUUCUAUCCAUGGAUCUCAAAGCAAUACAGAAAGAUUAGUACUAAUGGGAUCAAUAUAAGGAAAAUGUAUCUGCUUAUGACAAUUAAUUUUUGAAAACAAAUUAUGAAAAUAAACAUUUAUCUCUUGAUCA
rnacentral:lncRNA from 1 species